CCUACGGGUGGCAGCAGUGGGGAAUAUUGGACAAUGGGGGAAACCCUGAUCCAGCGACGCCGCGUGAGUGAAGAAGUACUUCGGUACGUAAAGCGCUAUCAGCAGGAAAGAAAAUGACGGUACCUGACUAAGAAGCCCCGGCUAACUACGUGCCAGCAGCCGCGGUAAUACGUAGUGGGCAAGCGGUAGACGGAUAUACUGGGUGGAAAGGGAGCGUAGACGUCAGGGCAAGUCUGGAGUGAAAUGCCGGGGCCCAACCCCGGGACUGCUCUGGAAACGGUGAAGCUGGAGUGAGGGAGAGGUAAGCGGAAUUCCUGGUGGAGCGGUGAAAUGCGUAGAUAUCAGGAGGAACACCGGCGGCGAAGGCGGCUUACUGGACUGUAACUGACGUUGAGGCUCGAAGGCGUGGGGAGCAAACAGGAUUAGAUACCCCAGUAGUC
rnacentral:rRNA from 1 species